UGUAUGGUUAAGUGACUAAGCGUACACGGUGGAUGCCUGGGCAGUCAGAGGCGAUGAAGGACGUACUAACUUGCGAUAAGCGCAGAUAAGGCAGUAAGAGCCGUUUGAGUCUGCGAUUUCCGAAUGGGGAAACCCAACUGCAUAAGCAGUUACUGUUAACUGAAUACAUAGGUUAACAGAGCAAACCGGGGGAACUGAAACAUCUAAGUACCCCGAGGAGAAGAAAUCAACCGAGAUUCCGGUAGUAGCGGCGAGCGAACCUGGAUUAGCCCUUAAGCACUCGGUGAAGUAGGUGAACAAGCUGGAAAGCUUGGCGAUACAGGGUGAUAGCCCCGUAACCGACGCUUCAUCGAGCGUGAAAUCGAGUAGGGCGGGACACGUGAUAUCCUGUCUGAAUAUGGGGGGACCAUCCUCCAAGGCUAAAUACUCCUGACUGACCGAUAGUGAACCAGUACCGUGAGGGAAAGGCGAAAAGAACCCCUGUGAGGGGAGUGAAAUAGAACCUGAAACCGUGUACGUACAAGCAGUAGGAGCACCUUCGUGGUGUGACUGCGUACCUUUUGUAUAAUGGGUCAGCGACUUAUAUUCAGUGGCAAGGUUAACCGUAUAGGGGAGCCGUAGCGAAAGCGAGUCUUAACUGGGCGCUCAGUCUCUGGAUAUAGACCCGAAACCGGGUGAUCUAGCCAUGGGCAGGUUGAAGGUUGAGUAACAUCAACUGGAGGACCGAACCGACUAAUGUUGAAAAAUUAGCGGAUGACUUGUGGCUAGGGGUGAAAGGCCAAUCAAACUCGGAGAUAGCUGGUUCUCCCCGAAAGCUAUUUAGGUAGCGCCUCGGACGAAUACUACUGGGGGUAGAGCACUGUUAAGGCUAGGGGGUCAUCCCGACUUACCAACCCUUUGCAAACUCCGAAUACCAGUAAGUACUAUCCGGGAGACACACGGCGGGUGCUAACGUCCGUCGUGGAGAGGGAAACAACCCAGACCGCCAGCUAAGGUCCCAAAGUAUUGCUAAGUGGGAAACGAUGUGGGAAGGCUCAGACAGCUAGGAUGUUGGCUUAGAAGCAGCCAUCAUUUAAAGAAAGCGUAAUAGCUCACUAGUCGAGUCGGCCUGCGCGGAAGAUGUAACGGGGCUAAGCAAUACACCGAAGCUGCGGCAAUGUCUUUUAGACAUUGGGUAGGGGAGCGUUCUGUAAGCCGUUGAAGGUGAAUCGUAAGGUUUGCUGGAGGUAUCAGAAGUGCGAAUGCUGACAUGAGUAACGACAAAGGGGGUGAAAAACCUCCUCGCCGGAAGACCAAGGGUUCCUGUCCAACGUUAAUCGGGGCAGGGUGAGUCGACCCCUAAGGUGAGGCCGAAAGGCGUAAUCGAUGGGAAACGGGUUAAUAUUCCCGUACUUCUGACUAUUGCGAUGGGGGGACGGAGAAGGCUAGGUGGGCCAGGCGACGGUUGUCCUGGUUCAAGUGCGUAGGCUUGAGAGUUAGGUAAAUCCGGCUCUCUCUAAGGCUGAGACACGACGUCGAGCUACUACGGUAGUGAAGUCAUUGAUGCCAUGCUUCCAGGAAAAGCCUCUAAGCUUCAGAUAGUCAGGAAUCGUACCCCAAACCGACACAGGUGGUCGGGUAGAGAAUACCAAGGCGCUUGAGAGAACUCGGGUGAAGGAACUAGGCAAAAUGGUACCGUAACUUCGGGAGAAGGUACGCUCUUGAUGGUGAAGUCCCUCGCGGAUGGAGCUGACGAGAGUCGCAGAUACCAGGUGGCUGCAACUGUUUAUUAAAAACACAGCACUGUGCAAAAUCGCAAGAUGACGUAUACGGUGUGACGCCUGCCCGGUGCCGGAAGGUUAAUUGAUGGGGUUAGCGCAAGCGAAGCUCUUGAUCGAAGCCCCGGUAAACGGCGGCCGUAACUAUAACGGUCCUAAGGUAGCGAAAUUCCUUGUCGGGUAAGUUCCGACCUGCACGAAUGGCGUAAUGAUGGCCACGCUGUCUCCACCCGAGACUCAGUGAAAUUGAAAUCGCUGUGAAGAUGCAGUGUACCCGCGGCUAGACGGAAAGACCCCGUGAACCUUUACUACAGCUUGGCACUGAACAUUGAACCUACAUGUGUAGGAUAGGUGGGAGGCUAUGAAGACGUGACGCCAGUUGCGUUGGAGCCGUCCUUGAAAUACCACCCUUGUAUGU
rnacentral:rRNA from 3 species